CUGCUUGAGGCGAUGUAGGAAACACAGUACACGUGCAGUCACUUGACACUGAUCUAAGGCCGAGGAGACAUAUUCAAAAGAAGGAAAUGUGCCGCACACCUCCUCACAGCCUGCUCUGUGUGCUGGUGGCCUUGGCCUUCUCUGGAUCCAAUUUGGGCCAGAAAGUGACUCAGGUCCAAUCAACUGCAAGCACACAGGAGGGGGAAAAAGUCACUCUGGAAUGUUCAUAUGAGACAAGAUCGGACUUCUAUUUUCUUUUUUGGUACAAGCAGCUUCUUAGUGGAGAGAUGAUUUUUCUUAUUCGCCAGUUUUCUUCUUCUACUCAGACUGAGAAGAGCAGCCGCUACUCUGUUGUCUUUCAGGAAUCAUCCAAGUCCAUCAGCCUUAUUAUUUCAGCCUCACAGCUAGAAGAUUCAGUCAAGUAUUUCUGCACGCUCUCGGAACAGACUCACAGUGUUUGA